rnacentral:rRNA from 1 species
UACAGAGGUCCCAAGCGUUGUUCGGAUUCACUGGGCGUAAAGGGUGCGUAGGCGGUCGGGUAAGUCUGAUGUGAAAUCUCACAGCUUAACUGUGAAACUGCAUUGGAUACUAUCCGGCUAGAGGAAUGGAGGGGAGACUGGAAUUCCUGGUGUAGCGGUGGAAUGCGCAGAUAUCAGGAGGAACACCGGUGGCGAAGGCGGGUCUCUGGGCCAUUACUGACGCUGAGGAGCGAAAGCGUGGGGAGCGAACAGG